rnacentral:rRNA from 1 species
UAGGGAAUCUUCCACAAUGGACGCAAGUCUGAUGGAGCAACGCCGCGUGAGUGAAGAAGGGUUUCGGCUCGUAAAGCUCUGUUGUUAAAGAAGAACGUGGGUAAGAGUAACUGUUUACCCAGUGACGGUAUUUAACCAGAAAGCCACGGCUAACUACGUGGCCAG